rnacentral:rRNA from 1 species
UACAGAGGUCUCAAGCGUUGUUCGGAUUCAUUGGGCGUAAAGGGUGCGUAGGUGGCGCCGUAAGUCGGGUGUGAAAUUUCGGAGCUUAACUCCGAAACUGCAUUCGAUACUGCGGUGCUUGAGGACUGGAGAGGAGACUGGAAUUCAUGGUGUAGCAGUGAAAAUGCGUAGAGAUCAUGAGGAAGACCAGUGGCGAAGGCGGGUCUCUGGACAGUUCCUGACACUGAGGCACGAAGGCCAGGGGGAGCAAAACGGGG